rnacentral:rRNA from 1 species
UUAGGAAUAUUCGUCAAUGGGGGAAACCCUGAACGAGCAAUGCCGCGUGAGUGAUGAAGGCCCUAUGGGUUGUAAAACUCUGUUGUUGAGAAAGAAUUGUAAAAUCAGGAAAUGGGUUUUACUUGACGGUACUCUUCAAGAAAGCCACGACUAACUACGUGCCAGCAGUCGCGGUAAUACGUAGGUGGCAAGCGUUAUCCGGAUUUAUUGGGUGUAAAGCGUGCGCAGGCGGCUUGUUAAGUCUAAAAUAAAAGCCCGGAGCUUAACUCCGGUUCGUUUUAGAAACUGGCAGGCUUGAGUAUGGUAGAGGCAAAUGGAAUUCCUAGUGUAGCGGUGGAAUGCGUAGAUAUUAGGAGGAACACCAGUGGCGAAGGCGGUUUGCUGGGCCAUCACUGACGCU